CCUACGGGUGGCAGCAGUGAGGAAUAUUGGUCAAUGGACGGAAGUCUGAACCAGCCAUGCCGCGUGCAGGAUGACGGCUCUAUGAGUUGUAAACUGCUUUUGUACGAGAAUAAUAGUUCUUACGUGUAGGUAUUUGAAUGUAUCUUACGAAUAAGGAUCGGCUAACUCCGUGCCAGCAGCCGCGGUAAUACGGAGGAUUCGAGCGUUAUCCGGAUUUAUUGGGUUUAAAGGGUGCGUAGGCGGGCGGAUAAGUCAGAGGUGAAAUGUUGGGGCUUAACCCCGAGACUGCCUUUGAUACUGGUCGACUAGAGAGCGGAUGCAGCAGGCGGAAUUAGUAGUGUAGCGGUGAAAUGCUUAGAUAGUACGCAGAACACCGAUUGCGCAGGCAGCUUGCUAAUCCGCAUCUGACGCUGAUGCACGAAAGCGUGGGUAGCGAACAGGAUUAGAUACCCUUGUAGUC
rnacentral:rRNA from 1 species